AUUGAACGCUGGCGGCAUGCCUUACACAUGCAAGUCGAACGGUAACAGGUCUUCGGAUGCCGACGAGUGGCGAACGGGUGAGUAAUGCAUCGGAACGUGCCCAGUUGUGGGGGAUAACUGCUCGAAAGAGCAGCUAAUACCGCAUACGACCUGAGGGUGAAAGCGGGGGAUCGCAAGACCUCGCGCAAUUGGAGCGGCCGAUGUCAGAUUAGGUAGUUGGUGGGGUAAAGGCCUACCAAGCCGACGAUCUGUAGUUGGUCUGAGAGGACGACCAGCCACACUGGGACUGCGACACGGCCCAGACUCCUACGGGAGGCAGCAGUGGGGAAUUUUGGACAAUGGGCGCAAGCCUGAUCCAGCAAUGCCGCGUGCAGGAAGAAGGCCUUCGGGUUGUAAACUGCUGUUGUCAGGGAAGAAAUCCUCUGGGUUAAUACCCCGGGGGGAUGACGGUACCUGAAGAAUAAGCACUGGCUAACUACGUGCCAGCCGCCGCAGUAA
rnacentral:rRNA from 1 species